CAGCCGCCACGGUAAGACGGAGGGUGCUAGCGUUGUUCGGAAUCACUGGGCGUAAAGGGCGCGUAGGCGGCCUGUUAAGUCGGAUGUGAAAGCCCGGGGCUUAACCUGGGAACUGCAUUUGAAACUGGCAGGCUAGAGUCUUGUAGAGGGGGGUAGAAUUCCAGGUGUAGCGGUGAAAUGCGUAGAGAUCUGGAGGAAUACCGGUGGCGAAGGCGGCCCCCUGGACAAAGACUGACGCUCAGGUGCGAAAGCGUGGGGAGCAAACAGGAUUAGAUACCCGGGUAGUCCCUGUCUCUUAUAC
rnacentral:rRNA from 1 species